GCACAUUCCAGUGAUUUUGUUUUCGAUGAUCCAGAAAUGCUAUGAAUGAAACUGGAAGCGAAGAGGAAGGCGUGAAGAUGAAGGAUACUAACGAACAUGUAUUUUUAACGUGGGGAUCUUCCCGGAGCUUCGCCGAACCGAUCACCGGUGACUGUCCAGUUUCCAGAGAUAAACAUUGUCGGCGAUUUGUGGAAGGACGUUUGUGGUGGUAGAUGUGGAUUCGCCAUGGCCAUUUUAGUGAAAUCUUUUCCUGGGUAAAGCAUGAGUGUAGAAUUCUUCUACUGACUUGGGUACUGAACUCAAGCUGCCCCUACGGAGCAAGAGUUGACAACAACAUCACAGGUGUUCAUUUCAUUUAUUGAAUAGAAUGGAAAUUCACCCUAUGCAUGCACCAUUAUGAAGUGGUAUAUGUGUCAUCAUGAUAUCCUAAUUGCAGAGAGAAGAAGAUUCAGGGGAUUAGGUUUCUUCUUAUUCUGGUUUUUUUUUCCAAUGCUGCUUGUGUUCUUAAUGGAUCUGCAGGUGAGAACCUGAAAGAAUGAGAAUUCAUUACAUCUUUUUCCUUUUGUUUAACAACUCUCUCUCUCUCUCUCUCUCUCUCUCUCACUAUGUAUAUAUAUGUAUAUGUAUUUGGUGGCAUCUACCUAGGACUAGGGAGAUGUCUUCAAUCGCAUACUAGGUUGGGUGCAAACAUGGUAUGUUUGCAAUUUUACAUUAAAU